rnacentral:lncRNA from 1 species
AAACAAAUCAAAAAAGUUACAAGCUGAAUUAGAUAGCGCAUUUAUUGCAAACCUUUUUUUCUCUAAAUUAAUUUUAAUCAAACAACUGUUGUCAGUACAUGAACAUACUACACACUGACCCACAUGUCAUUCAUAAUAAUGUAUGCUUAGUAUUGCCAAAUAAAAAUAAAGUGAUUAAAAUAAAUGCUGGCAAAGGUACACAGCAAAUCUCUGAAAAUAUGUUAAAAACAGUGAUGAAGUUUUGUGCACCAAUUGUACAAUGUCUGUACUUUCUUGAUAAAUUUUCAUUAUUUACAACAUGAAUAUAUAUUUACCCUAUAGAUUGGAAUUUUAACACAAAAUAU